rnacentral:rRNA from 1 species
ACGAACGCUGGCGGCGUGCUUCACACAUGCAAGUCGAACGGUGAAGCGCCUUCCUUUUUGGUGGGUGUGGAUGAGUGGCGAACGGGUGAGUAACACGUGAGUAACCUGCCCCCUUCUUCUGGAUAACCGCAUGAAAGUGUGGCUAAUACGGGAUAUUCUGGGUCUGUCGCAUGAUGGGUCUGGGAAAGAUAUUGUUUCGGUGGGGGAUGGGCUCGCGGCCUAUCAGCUUGUUGGUGGGGUGAUGGCCUACCAAGGCGGUGACGGGUAGCCGGCCUGAGAGGGUGGACGGUCACACUGGGACUGAGACACGGCCCAGACUCCUACGGGAGGCAGCAGUGGGGAAUAUUGCACAAUGGGCGCAAGCCUGAUGCAGCGACGCCGCGUGAGGGAUGGAGGCCUUCGGGUUGUGAACCUCUUUCGCCAGUGAAGCAGGCCUGCCUCGUUUGUGGGUGGAUUGACGGUAGCUGGAUAAGAAGCGCCGGCUAACUACGUG